rnacentral:rRNA from 1 species
UACGUAGGGUGCGAGCGUUGUCCGGAAUUAUUGGGCGUAAAGAGCUCGUAGGCGGCUUGUCGCGUCGGAUGUGAAAGCCCGGGGCUUAACUCCGGGUCUGCAUUCGAUACGGGCAGGCUAGAGUUCGGUAGGGGAGUUCGGAAUUCCUGGUGUAGCGGUGAAAUGCGCAGAUAUCAGGAGGAACACCGGUGGCGAAGGCGGAUCUCUGGGCCGAUACUGACGCUGAGGAGCGAAAGCGUGGGGAGCGAACAGG